CUACACAUGCAGUCGAGCGGGGAAUGUAGCUUGCUACAUUACNCUAGCGGCGGACGGGUGAGUAAUGCUUAGGAAUCUGCCUAUUAGUGGGGGACAACAUUUCGAAAGGAAUGCUAAUACCGCAUACGCCCUACGGGGGAAAGCAGGGGAUCUUCGGACCUUGCGCUAAUAGAUGAGCCUAAGUCGGAUUAGCUAGUUGGUGGGGUAAAGGCCUACCAAGGCGACGAUCUGUAGCGGGUCUGAGAGGAUGAUCCGCCACACUGGGACUGAGACACGGCCCAGACUCCUACGGGAGGCAGCAGUGGGGAAUAUUGGACAAUGGGGGGAACCCUGAUCCAGCCAUGCCGCGUGUGUGAAGAAGGCCUUUUGGUUGUAAAGCACUUUAAGCGAGGAGGAGGCUACCUAGAUUAAUAC
rnacentral:rRNA from 2 species